rnacentral:rRNA from 1 species
GAGGAAAGCUGGCGGCGUGCCUAAUACAUGCAAGUCGAGCGAACAGACGAGGAGCUUGCUCCUCUGACGUUAGCGGCGGACGGGUGAGUAACACGUGGAUAACCUACCUAUAAGACUGGGAUAACUUCGGGAAACCGGAGCUAAUACCGGAUAACAUGUUGAACCGCAUGGUUCAACAGUGAAAGACGGUCUUGCUGUCACUUAUAGAUGGAUCCGCGCCGCAUUAGCUAGUUGGUAAGGUAACGGCUUACCAAGGCAACGAUGCGUAGCCGACCUGAGAGGGUGGCGGGCAACACGGGAACUGGGACAGGGACCAGACACAAAGGGGGGGAAGAGGAAGGGAGUCUGCGGAAAGGGGCGAAAGCGGGACGGAGAAACGCGGCGGGAGUAAAGAGGGUUUUCGGAUCGAAAAACUUUGUUAUAAGGAAAAAAAAAUUGUGAAAGAAAAUAGGCACGUCUUGAGGGAACCUAAUCAGAAAGCCACGGCUAACUACGUC